GAUGAACGCUGGCGGCGUGCCUAAUACAUGCAAGUCGAGCGAACGGACGAGAAGCUUGCUUCUCUGAUGUUAGCGGCGGACGGGUGAGUCACACGUGGAUAACCCACCUAUAAGACUGGGAUAAUUUCGGGAAACCGGAUCUAAUACCGGAUGAGCUUCUGAACCGCAUGGUUCAAAAGUGAAAUACGGUCUUGCUGGCACUUAUAGAUGCAUCCGGGCUGCAUUAGCUAGUUGGUAAGGUAACGGCCUACCAAGGCGACGAUGCGUAGCCGACGUGAGAGGGGGGUCGGCCACCUGAGAGCUGGAACGCGGACAUGGCGACUGCGGGAGGCCGCAGUCGGGAACGUGCCGCAGUAGGGGGAAGCAUGGCAGAACGGCGCGGCGUCUGUGGUGAAAGUGCUCGGAUCGGGAAAACGUGUUAUGAGGGGAAAACAGAUGUGUCAGUAGCUGAACACAUCGUGACGGUACCUAAUCAAAAAGCCACGGCUAACUACGUG
rnacentral:rRNA from 1 species